AUUGAACGCUGGCGGCAGGCCUAACACAUGCAAGUCGAGCGGCAGCGGGACCUUCGGGUUGCCGGCGAGCGGCGGACGGGUGAGUAAUGCCUAGGAAUCUGCCUGUUAGUGGGGGAUAACGCGGGGAAACUCGCGCUAAUACCGCAUACGUCCUACGGGAGAAAGUGGGGGACCCUCGGGCCUCACGCUAACAGAUGAGCCUAGGUCGGAUUAGCUAGUUGGUGGGGUAAAGGCCCACCAAGGCGACGAUCCGUAACUGGUCUGAGAGGAUGAUCAGUCACACUGGAACUGAGACACGGUCCAGACUCCUACGGGAGGCAGCAGUGGGGAAUAUUGGACAAUGGGCGAAAGCCUGAUCCAGCCAUGCCGCGUGUGUGAAGAAGGUCUUCGGAUUGUAAAGCACUUUAAGUUGGGAGGAAGGGCGCUCGGUGAAUACCCAGGCGUCUUGACGUUACCGACAGAAUAAGCACCGGCUAACUUCGUGCCAGCCGCCGCCGUAAUAC
rnacentral:rRNA from 1 species